UUAACAAAGACUGUACUGGGGACUGCUGUUUAAAAGGCUGUUAAAUGGUGAUACUCUAUUUUUGAACAUCAGCAGCAUUUAGAAACCUUUUAGAGAACAGUCCUCUUUACCCACUACUA
rnacentral:miRNA from 1 species